rnacentral:miRNA from 1 species
GUACGUCGGGAAAUGUACGGUA